rnacentral:snRNA from 1 species
GAAACACUUCUCACCUACAAGG